rnacentral:rRNA from 1 species
GAUGAACGCUGGCGGCGUGCCUAAUACAUGCAAGUCGAGCGAACAGACGAGGAGCUUGCUCCUCUGACGUUAGCGGCGGACGGGUGAGUAACACGUGGAUAACCUACCUAUAAGACUGGGAUAACUUCGGGAAACCGGAGCUAAUACCGGAUAAUAUAUUGAACCGCAUGGUUCAAUAGUGAAAGACGGUUUUGCUGUCACUUAUAGAUGGAUCCGCGCCGCAUUAGCUAGUUGGUAAGGUAACGGCUUACCAAGGCGACGAUGCGUAGCCGACCUGAGAGGGGGAGGGGCGGCGCUGGAACGGAGCCACGGCACAGAGCGCUACGGGGGGGAGCAAAAGGGGAGCUGCCGCAAAGGGCGAAAGCCUGAAGAAGCAACGCUGCGGGAGAAAUAAAAGUGUUCGAAUCGUAAAACUCGGUUAUUAGGGAAGAACAAAAAAGGAAGAAACUAUGCACGUCCUGACAGUAGCUAAACAGAAAGCCACGGCUAACUACGAG